CAUACACACCUCCAAAAUACAAAGCCUUGAGCAUUGACAGAAAAGCACUAACACCUAGCAAGAUUAGGUGAAUACCCAAAAUUGUGGUCAUUUUGUUUCUUUCUUUCCA
rnacentral:antisense_RNA from 1 species